rnacentral:rRNA from 1 species
UAACAUAACAAUUAAAUUACCUAUUGUUCGCCAAAUAACUACGAGUAAAAACUUAAAAUUUAAAAGACUUGACGGUACCUCAAAACAACCUAGAGGAGCCUGUCUAAUAACCGAUACUCCACGAUUAACCCAACCCACUCUAGCCUAACAGUCUAUAUACCGCCGUCGCCAGCCUACCUUGUGAAAGAAACAAAGUGAGCCAAAUAGCUAUACACUAAUACGACAGGUCGAGGUGUAACUUAUGGGCGGGUCAAAGAUGGGCUACAUUUUCUAAUACAGAAAACACGGAUAAAUCUAUGAAAUAGAAACUGAAGGCGGAUUUAGCAGUAUGCUGAGAACAACAUACCCAACUGAAACCAAUGCAAUGAGGUGCGUACACACCGCCCGUCAUCCCUGUAACACUAACAAAAACAUAUAUAAACAUAAAUAACCACCAAAGC